GACGUAGGGGGCCAGCGUUGUUCGGAAUUACUGGGUGUAAAGGGUUCGUAGGCGGUGUGGCAAGUCGGGUGUGAAAUCUCGGAGCUUAACUCCGAAACUGCAUUCGAUACUGCCGUGCUUGAGGACUGGAGAGGAGACUGGAAUUUACGGUGUAGCGGUGAAAUGCGUAGAUAUCGUAAGGAAGACCAGUGGCGAAGGCGGGUCUCUGGACAGUUCCUGACGCUGAGGCACGAAGGUCAGGGGAGCAAACGGG
rnacentral:rRNA from 1 species